rnacentral:tRNA from 1 species
AAGAAAGUAUGCAAGAACUGCUAACUCAUGCAUCCACGCUUAAACCCGUGGCUUUCUUA